rnacentral:rRNA from 1 species
GAUGAACGCUGGCGGCGUGCCUAAUACAUGCAAGUCGAACGGAAAGGCGCUGCUUUUGUGGGGUGCUCGUGAGGCGAACGGGUGAGUAACACGUGAGUAACCUGCCCUUGACUUUGGGAUAACUUUAGGAAACUGGGGCUAAUACCGGAUAGGAGCUCCUGCUGCACGGUGGGGGUUGGAAAGUUUCGGCGGUUGGGGAUGGACUCGCGGCUUAUCAGCUUGUUGGUCGGGUAGUGGCUUACGAAGGCUAUGACGGAUAGCCGGCCUGAGAGGGUGACCGGCCACAUGGGGACUGAGAGACGGAGCAGACUGCUACGGGAGGCAGCAGUGGGGAAUAUUGCGGAAUAGGCGGAAGCCUGAUGCGGCGACCCCGCGUGCGGGAUGACGGCCUUCGGGUUGUAAACCGCUUUCGAAUGUGACGAAGCGUGAGUGACGGUAAUGGGUAAGGAAGCACCGGCUAACUACGUG